rnacentral:rRNA from 1 species
CAAUAGCGUAUAUUAAAGUUGUUGCAGUUAGAACGCUCGUAGUCGGAUUUCGGGGCGGGCCGACCGGUCUGCCGAUGGGUAUGCACUGGUCGGCGCGUCCUUCCUUCCGGAGACCGUCCCUACUCUUAACUGAGCGGGGGCGGGAGACGGGACUUUUACUUUGAAAAAAUCAGAGUGUUUCAAGCAGGCAGCUCGCUCUUGCAUGGAUUAGCAUGGGAUAAUGAAGUAGGACUUUGGUGCUAUUUUGUUGGUUUCGAACACCGAAGUAAUGAUGAGAAGGGACAGUCAGGGGCACUCGUAUUCCGCCGAGAGAGGUGAAAUUCUCAGACCAGCGGAAGACGAACCACUGCGAAAGCAUUUGCCAGGGAUGUUUUCACUGA